ACUCCUACGGGAGGCAGCAGUAGGGAAUCUUCCACAAUGGACGAAAGUCUGAUGGAGCAACGCCGCGUGAGUGAAGAAGGGUUUCGGCUCGUAAAACUCUGUUGUUAAAGAAGAACAUAUCUGAGAGUAACUGUUCAGGUAUUGACGGUAUUUAACCAGAAAGCCACGGCUAACUACGUGCCAGCAGCCGCGGUAAUACGUAGGUGGCAAGCGUUGUCCGGAUUUAUUGGGGCGUAAAGCGAGCGCAGGCGGUUUUUAAGUCUCAUGUGAAAGCCUUCGGCUCAACCGAAGAAGUGCAUCGGAAACUGGGAAACUUGAGUGCAGAAGAGGACAGUGGAACUCCAUGUGUAGCGGUGAAAUGCGUAGAUAUAUGGAAGAACACCAGUGGCGAAGGCGGCUGUCUGGUCUGUAACUGACGCUGAGGCUCGAAAGUAUGGGUAGCAAACAGGAUUAGAUACCCUGGUAGGAUAGCG
rnacentral:rRNA from 1 species